GAUUGCCCUAGUAACGGCGAGUGAAGCGGCAACAGCUCAAAUUUGAAAUCUGGCGCAAGCCCGAGUUGUAAUUUGUAGAGGAUGCUUCUGGGUAGCGACCGAUCUAAGUUCCUUGGAACAGGACGUCAUAGAGGGUGAGAAUCCCGUAUGUGACCGGCCCGCACCCUUUACGUAGCUCCUUCGACGAGUCGAGUUGUUUGGGAAUGCAGCUCUAAAUGGGAGGUAAAUUUCUUCUAAAGCUAAAUACCGGCCAGAGACCGAUAGCGCACAAGUAGAGUGAUCGAAAGAUGAAAAGUACUUUGGAAAGAGAGUUAAAAAGCACGUGAAAUUGUUGAAAGGGAAGCGCCUGCAACCAGACUUCGCGGCAGUGUUCCGCCGGUCUUCUGACCGGUUCAUUCUCUGUCGCGAGGCCAUCAUCGUCUGGGCCCGCCGGAUAAGACCUUAGGAAUGUAGCUCACCUUCGGGGGAGUGUUAUAGCCUAGGGUGAUGCGGCGAGGCUCGGGCGAGGUCCGCGCUUCGGCAAGGAUGAUGGCGUAAUGGUUGUCGGCGGCCCGUCUUGAAACACGGACCAAGGAGUCUAACAUCUAUGCGAGUGUUCGGGUGUCAAACCCCUACGCGUAAUGAAAGUGAACGGAGGUGGGAACCGCAAGGUGCACCAUCGACCGAUCCUGAUGUCCUCGGAUGGAUUUGAGUAAGAGCAUAGCUGUUGGGGACCCGAAAGAUGGUGAACUAUGCCUGAAUAGGGUGAAGCCCGGAGGAAACUCUGGUGGGAGGCUCGCAGCGUUUCUGACGUGCAAAUUCGAUCGUCAAAAUUUGGGUAUAGGGGCCAAAAGACUAAUCGAACCAUCCCGUAGCUGGU
rnacentral:rRNA from 1 species